CUCCUGCCACAUUUCAUCACAUUGGUUGUGCCAAUGUUGUGAACGUAGUGCACUUAAAUAUAUACAUUAGGGGUGUUAAUAGUAAUCAAUUUUUUAAAUUCAUUAAUCACGAUUAAAAGUUUAUUUUUCUUCUAAAAUCUAAAUCUUACAAGUUAUGAGUAAUCACUUUAGAAAGUGUGUAUUUUAGACCCCGUUGUUUAAUUGUUAAUGUUAUUUUAAACACAAAACUACACACAUUUGAUCAACUUGGAGGCAGAAUUCCACCAAGUGGAACAUGUUGAACUAGCGACUCUUCCUGCCGGCCUCGUGCAAUUUCCUCUCAACUCUCUAUCAAUUGAUGGCUGUGUUUGAAGUGCCAACAAUGUCCCCACAUUUAGCCAGGACAUGUUCCAAACCAUUGUCUUUUAGGGACACAGUGAUGGUCCUCUUGAGACCGCGCAGGGUAGAUGUGGAGAUAGAAGUAGCCUAGCAACUAGCUUAGCCUAGCAGUGCUUCAAAGUGGUCCGUUUGCCACUCACCCCUCUUCAGUUUGAGGAGGAAUUCCUCUGUACAGUUCUCCAUUUUCAGUUACCAACUUGCUCUCUACCUUCUAACUGACUGCAGCUAGCGGCGGUUUUGUUUUCCGGGGUCAACUUUGUUUACUUCCGGCACACCGGAAGACUGGUCAAGUUAACAAAGUCGCGUUACCUGCAUUAAAAUAUUUGAUCACAUUAAUCUCAGGCACAUUAAUCGCAUAGAUUAGUGCGUUAAUGUUGACAUUCCUAAUAUAUAUGUUUUAGGUGCACUACGUUCAUCCUCACUUGUCAUAUUUAGGGAGUGAUUUUAAACAAGCUUAAGUUUUCUACUUCAGUAGAUUACUGAAAAUAUUCUAAAAAUGCUAGGAUUAUUGAUAUUGAUCAGUGGUUCUCAACUGGUCUGGCUCCAGGACCCACCAUCACCCCUUAAUUACAAGCCGCGACCCAAAUCGAGGAACAUUCUCAACUUCUCAAAUUUAUUUAAUAAAAUGAUGGUGCAGUUUGAACCUGAGAUAGUAUGGAGACAGAAUAAGUAUGCCAACACAAAAACAAGUUUAAUGAAAAAACAAAACAGCCAGCUGGUAGCGAUGCUAGAGAGGGAACUAUUCCCUUUUACAGUCAAUUAUCUAAAAACCCCAAAGUGUAUCUUAAGGACACGAGGUAUUACAACAUACAUAACAAUUAAGAAUCUUCAGCCAUUUCAACAACAAAAAAGGCGAAAAAAGACACAAAUUACUUAACUUCAACAGAUCUAUGACAAACACUAUGUCUCGAGGAGCAGCUUUUGCACAAAUUCAAAAUGAAUUAAAUAAACCUGGCACACGCUGCUGAAAACAUAGACGGACGAGCCGGCACAAAAAAGACGACACUCCGCUGCAUUAAAAAAAUCGCUCUUCAAAAUAGGCUUGUCGACAGUGCAGUCCGUCUUCCCUCUCGUUACACCAUCUUCACUGUCCAAGGAGCUGCACUCAAUUCUCCCCUUGAUUA
ensembl:lncRNA